AGGCAGUGUAGUUAGAUGAUUUGAUUUAAUAUCAAUCACUAACUACACAGCUAGG
rnacentral:pre_miRNA from 1 species